rnacentral:sRNA from 1 species
GUUACUCCCAUCAGUUUGUGCUUUCAAACUGAUGGCUGACUUCUCUGAAUUUGUGUAGAGCACAACGAAUGCUGUGCUCCGGGGGCUGCGGUGCACCCUUUUUAAAGGGACCCUGCAAUCUCAUUGUUUAAUUUGACUCUUUAGUGCUUCAGUCACAUCAGCACUUGCAGAGGGGUUGUUCUUUUCCUUUUUCUUCUUUCUCUCUUUUUCUCUUCUCUCUGUCCUUCUCCCCACCCCCAUCCCUCAAUUCAGGCAGUUUGGGGUGGGAAAAACUUGAGCACUGGUUCCGACAGAGCUCAUCUCACAUAAGAAGGUAUGGAAGAGCUGCAGUGAUCGACAGCAUCGACCGUUCUGUAACUCCUUAAAUUUGAGAGCUGCAGGGCUUCCUGAAGAAUGAGAAGGACAAUGCCCUGCUGUCUGCCAUUGAAGAGUCCCGGAAGAGGCCAAGCUACAUCAGUGAUGUGGGACCCCCUGGUCGAAGCUCUCUGGAUAACAUCGAGAUGGCCUAUGCGCGGCAAAUUUAUAUCUAUAAUGAGAAAAUUGUAAAUGGACACCUG